AUCCCUCAAAAUUCAACCAUAAAAUUUUAAAAUUUAUUUAAGAUUUGCAAUCCCCAUUGCGAGGGCUACAAGAAGCACCCAUCAAUUGUUCGUAUAGAAUUCCUAACGCGAGAUUUCAUUCGAAAGCUUCUAAUUUAAGGUUCUGAGGCUCAGUCUAGGGGUCCAGAUAAGCAGUAGAUUUCAUCAGACAGAGUUGCAGUGUUCAGUUGGUGAGCCUUCUAUAUUUCAGAAGGCCUGUUUACUUUCCAACGAUUACUAUUAGUUAUGGUUUUGGUCUACUGGGGGCCUUGUCCCUGUUUUUAGAUUGUGUUAAUGAUCAUGUAGUAGAGAUUUCGCAAACGGUUUGCAGAUGUUGUUAGAUGGUUUUGGAUUUCAUUCUCCAUUGCUAACUUUAUAUCAGAUUUAUGACCAUGAUUCCGUUUGUAAUAAUUUCCGCAUUUUCUUCUCUGUGUAUGAAUGGUGUAUAUGAUUUCAAGUUAGAAGUGUGUCCAGGCCUUCAUGGUUUGGGAUGCUCGUCAUGCCAGGGCCUCGGUUCGGUUCGUGACAAUCAUGCUCAUCCUCAAUUAUCAUGUUGUGCAGUAUAAUACACUUAGUCAUUAUUGCAAGUGACACUUCUUUUUACUAAA